ACUCUGGAAUCUCGCCCCCUGCCUCCAGUGCUUUUCAGCCAAUGACAGCUUCUCCCUUCCUUAUGUCACUCAGCAGGCUCCGUCCCGCCUUGUAAGCACACCGUUCCUGUUUGUACUCUUUUCUCUAUGGUAAAGAGAGACAGCUGAGUGGCAGCACACUGGAGUUUGCAGAGAAGCAGAACUCGAGAGAGACAAAGUAGUGCUGUAGAGGAAGACUUGGCUUGCAGUGGCCCUUUGUCCCAGAAGCAAGCAGAAUAUUUCUUCUCUCAGCAGGCUUCUUUACUGAAGAGUGAUGAGAACAAGGCCCUGACCCCAGUCUUACUGCAAAAGGAACUAAAUAAUCUGUUGAAGUUCAACCCUGAUUUUGCAGAAGCCUCACCAAGCAGAGCUUGCCCUGCAGGAAGCAACCAGGAUAGCACAGGAGUCCAGUGACCAUGUGUGUUUGCAACACUGCCUGUGGCCUCUAUAUCCCUUCCAGUAUUUGGCAUCCCUUGGCAUACCGUCCUUGGUUCAGCAAAGAGCUUUGGCAGGAAAGACAGCUGACAGACUCAUGGAUGCCCCGAAGGACUCAGACCUUCUCCACUGGAAACAGAGCCUGUCAGAACUAACUGACAUCAGUACAGCACAAAAGACAGCCUGGACAUCUGGAGACUGUAUGGG